rnacentral:rRNA from 1 species
GGAGUUAGCCGGUGCUUCUUCUGUGAGUGAUGUCCUUCCUGCCGGCUAUUAACCCGCAGGCCUUCUUCCUCACUGAAAGUGCUUUACAACCCGAAGGCCUUCUUCACACACGCGGCAUGGCUGGAUCAGGGUUGCCCCCAUUGUCCAAUAUUCCCCACUGCUGCCUCCCGUAGGAGUCUGGGCCGUGUCUCAGUCCCAGUGUGGCUGAUCAUCCUCUCAGACCAGCUACGGAUCGUCGCCUUGGUGAGCCGUUACCUCACCAACCAGCUAAUCCGACAUAGGCUCAUCCGAUAGCGCGAGGCCCGAAGGUCCCCCGCUUUCCCCCGUAGGGCGUAUGCGGUAUUAGCCUGGGUUUCCCCAGGUUAUCCCCCACUACCGGGCAGAUUCCUAUGCAUUACUCACCCGUCCGCCGCUCGCCACCAGGGAGCAAGCUCCCCGUGCUGCCGCUCGACUUGCAUGUGUUAGGCCGUCGCCGCCACGCGUUCAAUCUGAGCCACGAAUACGAACCCGUACGA